AUUGAACGCUGGCGGCAGGCCUAACACAUGCAAGUCGAACGGUAACAGGAAGCAGCUUGCUGCUUUGCUGACGAGUGGCGGACGGGUGAGUAAUGUCUGGGAAACUGCCUGAUGGAGGGGGAUAACUACUGGAAACGGUAGCUAAUACCGCAUAACGUCGCAAGACCAAAGAGGGGGACCUUAGGGCCUCUUGCCAUCGGAUGUGCCCAGAUGGGAUUAGCUAGUAGGUGGGGUAACGGCUCACCUAGGCGACGAUCCCUAGCUGGUCUGAGAGGAUGACCAGCAACACUGGAACUGAGACACGGUCCAGACUCCUACGGGAGGCAGCAGUGGGGAAUAUUGCACAAUGGGCGCAAGCCUGAUGCAGCCAUGCCGCGUGUAUGAAGAAGGCCUUCGGGUUGUAAAGUACUUUCAGCGGGGAGGAAGGGAGUAAAGUUAAUACCUUUGCUCAUUGACGUUACCCGCAGAAGAAGCACCGGCUAACUCCGUG
rnacentral:rRNA from 1 species